rnacentral:rRNA from 1 species
UGGAGACCUGUAUGAAUGGGAAGACGAGGGCUUAACUGNCUCCUCCCUUCAAUCAAUGAAAUUGAUCUCUCCGUGCAGAAGNGGGGAUUAACUCAUAAGACGAGAAGACCCUAUGGAGCUUUAGACAAUAAGACAGCCCAUACAAAGCAAUCAAAAUUAAAUGAAGCACACCCUAUGCCCCCUGUCUAAAUGUCUUCGGUUGGGGCGACCAUGGGGAAAUACAAAACCCCCAAGUGGAACGAGAGAACACCCCACACAUACUCUCCAAAACUAGAGGGACACCUCUAAUUAACAGAACUUCUGACCUCCGAGGAUCCGGUAUUACCGAUCAACGAACCNAGUUACCCUAGGGAUAACAGCGCAAUCCCCUUUUAGAGUCCAUAUCGACAAGGGGGUUUACGACCUCGAUGUUGGAUCAGGACAUCCUAAUGGUGCAGCAGCUAUUAAGGGUUCGUUUGNUCGACGAUAG